rnacentral:rRNA from 1 species
CUCCUACGGGAGGCAGCAGUGAGGAAUAUUGGUCAAUGGGCGAGAGCUGAACCAGCCAAGUAGCGUGAAGGAUGACUGCCCUAUGGGUUGUAAACUUCUUUUAUAAAGGAAUAAAGUCGGGUAUGCAUACCCGUUUGCAUGUACUUUAUGAAUAAGGAUCGGCUAACUCCGUGCCAGCAGCCGCGGUAAUACGGAGGAUCCGAGCGUUAUCCGGAUUUAUUGGGUUUAAAGGGAGCGUAGAUGGAUGUUUAAGUCAGUUGUGAAAGUUUGCGGCUCAACCGUAAAAUUGCAGUUGAUACUGGAUAUCUUGAGUGCAGUUGAGGCAGGCGGAAUUCGUGGUGUAGCGGUGAAAUGCUUAGAUAUCACGAAGAACUCCGAUUGCGAAGGCAGCCUGCUAAGCUGCAACUGACAUUGAGGCUCGAAAGUGUGGGUAUCAAACAGGAUUAGAUACCCUGGUAGUCCACACGGUAAACGAUGAAUACUCGCUGUUUGCGAUAUACGGCAAGCGGCCAAGCGAAAGCGUUAAGUAUUCCACCUGGGGAGUACGCCGGCAACGGUGAAACUCAAAGGAAUUGACGGGGGCCCGCACAAGCGGAGGAACAUGUGGUUUAAUUCGAUGAUACGCGAGGAACCUUACCCGGGCUUAAAUUGCAGAUGAAUUACGGUGAAAGCCGUAAGCCGCAAGGCAUCUGUGAAGGUGCUGCAUGGUUGUCGUCAGCUCGUGCCGUGAGGUGUCGGCUUAAGUGCCAUAACGAGCGCAACCCUUGUUGUCAGUUACUAACAGGUUCUGCUGAGGACUCUGACAAGACUGCCAUCGUAAGAUGUGAGGAAGGUGGGGAUGACGUCAAAUCAGCACGGCCCUUACGUCCGGGGCUACACACGUGUUACAAUGGGGGGUACAGAGGGCCGCUACCACGCGAGUGGAUGCCAAUCCCCAAAACCUCUCUCAGUUCGGACUGGAGUCUGCAACCCGACUCCACGAAGCUGGAUUCGCUAGUAAUCGCGCAUCAGCCACGGCGCGGUGAAUACGUUCCCGGGCCUUGUACACACCGC